GACAGAGGAUGCAAGCGUUAUCCGGAAUGAUUGGGCGUAAAGCGUCUGUAGGUGGCUUUUUAAGUCCGCCGUCAAAUCCCAGGGCUCAACCCUGGACAGGCGGUGGAAACUACCAAGCUGGAGUACGGUAGGGGCAGAGGGAAUUCCAUGUGGAGCGGUGAAAUGCGUAGAGAUAUGGAAGAACACCAGUGGCGAAGGCGCUCUGCUGGGCCGAAACUGACACUGAGAGACGAAAGCUAGGGGAGCGAAUGGG
rnacentral:rRNA from 1 species